CAAAAAUCUCCACAGGGUAGUGGACUCACACGGUCCCCUGCUUCCAGUUCUUGGAGGGGGAAAAAAAAAAAACCCUCGAGACCCUAGAGAGAGAGGCUUCCGAGGAAAUCUGCAAGCUCGCCUGAGCUCCUUCGAUCCUUCUUCGUCUCUCUCCCUUCUCUGCUUCUCGUUAAUGGCGGCUUCUACUUCCUCUUCGUCGGCUUCCUUACCCAGUGUCACGGAGCGGAGGGGCAUCCCGGCGGCUUCCUUCGUGGAGGACGUUGAGACCUAUCUUCAGCAAUCUGGCCUCGAUGUCAACUCCUCCCUCUCCUUCCUUCAAGAAAGAUUCGCUCUUCUAGAAGCUUUUUUUCCCCCCUUUUCCAGGCUUCAGCAGUACAGGAUUGUGGAAAUGAAACUUCUAGCACAGCAAAGGGAUCUUCAGGCUAAAAUUCCUGAUAUUGAGAAAUGUUUGGAUAUUGUCGCCACACUACAAGCUAAGAAGGGUACUGGUGAGGCAUUGAUUGCUGAUUUUGAAGUAUCAGAGGGCAUUUAUUCACGGGCAAGAAUAGAAGAUACCGAUUCAGUGUGUCUUUGGUUGGGAGCAAAUGUCAUGCUAGAGUAUUCAUGUGAAGAGGCUAAGGCCCUUCUACAGAAGAACUUAGAAAAUGCUAAAGCCAGUUUAGAAGUCCUUGUUGCUGAUUUACAGUUCUUGAGGGAUCAAGUGACUAUCACUCAGGUUACUACUGCUCGAGUGUAUAACUGGGAUGUUCAUCAGCGAAGGAUAAGACAAGCUGCAAUGGAAACUUGAUUUUCUAGUAGCCCCAUCUUAUUGAACUGGCUCUUGAUUGAUUAUGUUGUUUAGUUGGUCGCUUCUUUCCUGUCGCAGUUUUUGUUUCAGAUUUAUAUUUGGUGUUUGCUAUCAGCAAGACAAAAAUGAGCGCACGGCAUGCAGUGCCAUCACAAGUCUGGGCUGAGAGGCCGCGGUGCCAUAUUGAGGGAAAAUUACAAGCAUCAUGGCUAAAGUCAGCAUUGAGAACACAUAAUAAUAUGGACUAGUAUUGUCUGAAAUUUACUUUGUCUCGAUAGCAACUUGCAGUCUGGCCUUGAAUAUGGUUUUAGUUCCAGCUAUAUCAGAGAAUUGGUAUAAUUUGCAGUUUAUUUUUCUCCCAUUACACUCCUGCCUUUUCUUCUUUUUUUUAAUAAUAUUUUUCAUUUUGUUUUUGUG